AGAGUUUGAUUCUGGCUCAGGAUGAACGCUGGCGGCGUGCCUAACACAUGCAAGUCGAGCGAGAUACUGUUGAACAGAGGUUCGUCAACGGGAUACAGUGGAAAGCGGCGGACGGGUGAGUAACGCGUAGGCAACCUGCCCCUUACACAGGGAUAGCCAUUGGAAACGAUGAUUAAAACCUGAUGACACCUGAGGAUGACAUCUUCCUGAGGUCAAAGAUUUAUCGGUAAGGGAUGGGCCUGCGUCUGAUUAGAUAGUUGGUGAGGUAACGGCCCACCAAGUCAACGAUCAGUAGCCGACCUGAGAGGGUGAUCGGCCACAUUGGAACUGAGACACGGUCCAAACUCCUACGGGAGGCAGCAGUGGGGAAUAUUGCACAAUGGGGGAAACCCUGAAUGCAGCAACGCCGCGUGAAGGAAGAAGGUCUUCGGAUCGUAAACUUCUGUCCUAGAGGAAGAUAAUGACGGUACUCUUGGAGGAAGCCCCGGCUAACUACGUGCCAGCCGCCGC
rnacentral:rRNA from 1 species